rfam:Oryza glumipatula chromosome 10, whole genome shotgun sequence.
AAAAAGACAAAUCCUGGGUUUUCGUGUCCAACGUUUGACUGUUCGUCUUAUAUGAAUUUUUUUUUAUAAUUAGUAUUUUCAAUGUUGUUAGAUGAUAAAACAUGAUUAAUACUUUAUGCGUGACUUGUCUUUUUAUUUUUUUUCAUAUUUUUUUCAAAUAAGACGGACGGUCAGGACACGGAAACCCAGGGUUUAUCUUUUU